rnacentral:sRNA from 1 species
GGAUCGGGCCUUUCAGGCAUCCUCUCCUAAAAAACUUUCAGGGCCGGUCUUGCGACCGGCCCUUUUUUUGGCUUGCU